UGGCGGACGGGUGAGUAACGCGUGGGUAACCUGCCUUGCACUGGGGGAUAACACUUAGAAAUAGGUGCUAAUACCGCAUAAGCGCACGGUCCUGCAUGGGACAGUGUGAAAAACUCCGGUGGUGCAAGAUGGACCCGCGUCUGAUUAGCUGGUUGGCGGGGUAAAGGCCCACCAAGGCGACGAUCAGUAGCCGGCCUGAGAGGGUGGACGGCCACAUUGGGACUGAGGCACGGCCCAAACUCCUACGGAAGGCAGCAG
rnacentral:rRNA from 1 species